CUUGCUGCCUGCUGCUGCUGCCAUGGUAGCCAUCGUACGUCAUUCGGGUCUUUCAUUCUCGUGUUCAUCGUCCUUGCUGCUGGCCACAAUAACGGCACUGGCUCUCCUGUGCUACUGCUCCGACGCAUCCAUCCACCACUGCUUUGAACAGCACCGCGACAACCAGUUGGACUCUGCUACCGAAUCCGGAGACGCUGUAUGACGAACCAAAACAUCCUAAAAACUCCACGAAAAUAACUGAGAAUCGGCCCAAUAAAAUCGAAAACUGAAAAUCGAGCGACAAUCAACCUAAAAUACCAUAAAUUCACCGAGUUUCCGGCACUAUAGCAGGUAGGACAUCAGAAGACGUUUUUCCACUGGCUGUCAAUUUAGAAAUUGUAUAAAAUGGAUGCGCUGCGCUUACGUGGUUCGCAAUUCAAUCGUUAUGGAGGCAGCUCAGGGUCAGGCGGCAACAACCCGAACCAGCCUCCGCCACCGCAGGUGCACAGCAAGCCGGAGCCUUUGAUUGUAGUGGAGGAGUCCAACUUACCGGAGGAACUGGAGGACAGCUCAGAGACAACCUUUUCGAAUCGCGCCAGUCUGGACAUUGACUCGCCCGUGAACCCCUAUUUGCUCUCCCCUUGGCGGGACCCGCGCGAGGCCCGUAAGCACUCGCUGCCCUCACAGCAGGUGACCGAUGGAAUCACCGCCAGUCAGGUGAGGCGUCUGUCCGAGCGCGGCGGCGAGGGAUCCGGUCCAUCGCCCAAGGAGGCCGCCUUCCUCGCCACCCUCUCACAAGCGCCGGCCCCAUCUGGACGUCGCCACUCUGUGGUCACCAUCUCCAAGGUGCCCACCACCCUCUUUGGACGUUCGCGCCGCGAAUCGGUGGCCGCCUAUCCGAGCAGCAAUGGCAGCAGCCGUGUGCUCAACUCACGGCGGGAGAGCAACACGGGUCCUCCCUCUACAGACCCCAUCGGCAGCAUCCAUAACUUGCAACUGGACAUUAUGGACGACAUAUAUUUGCAGUCACGAAAGGCCCGUUUAAAGCUAUGGACCUCCAGCAAUGAGAAGGUCUGUGAGGUACAGACCGUUGAUGAGGCCGGGACCGCGGCCCCGGGUAGGCGCUACACCAACCGCCGCUUUUCGGAGUGCCCCCAGCCGCAACCAGCCAGCAGCUUUCGCCGGGCCUCUGAAUAUCCGCAUCCACCGCCGCAGCCGCUUCCGCAUGCACAAACACACGGACAUGGGCACGCGCCUUCAUCGCAGAAGAGCAUCUCGCCCCAGCCGCCGUUGUCGGCCAGGGCCUCGACACGCCGCAAGAAGUCGGGCAGUGGCGUAGGCCUGCUUGGAAGCCGCACAGACAUCGCUGGGAUCUUCAGCUCUUUGACCAGCUCUGCCAUGGACAUGCACCGCUCAGAGCCGGAGGGGAGCUCCAGUGCCAGUGCCAGCUCUUCAGCGGCCACCGCUGGAAGCAGCCCGUUUCUCAGCCAGACGUUCCAAAACGCCGCCCGGGGCCGCGCUACUAGUGCCACGCCUACGCCCACGGCCCACACUGGGGGGCAGGCGGCCGCAGCAAGCAGCAGCUCACUGCUAGACCCAAAUGCAGGCCGCUCCACACGAUCCAACAGCUUCGACGUCUCGAUCCUGAACAACGCCAAGCAGUUGGUGAGCGAGGCGCAGGACAACAGCUCUGCCGCCAUAUCCGGGUGGUUCGGCAAGCCGGCAAGUCGCCCCCAGCCGAUGGCCCGCAAGAAAAGUGUGCGCAGCAAGAGCACGGCCAUGGCCCUCUCAAAGGACAUGUUGGAGCGACUGCAGAAGAAGGACCCGCUCGGCGGAGACUCCGGAAAACCGAAGCUCAAGCCGCGCAGCAAGCAGAAGAGCUGGGCCGACACCACCAAGGCGAACAUCGUGGAUGCGACCAUGCUGGGCACGGCGAUCGAGGGUUUCCUUCGCAAGAGCUCCAAUGCCGGGAUGGCCGGAGCCGGAGGUUCUAGCGGACCAUCCACAUCGGCGGCGGUCCGCGGGGCUGUUCCCAAGGAGUCAAACAGUGCUACCGGCAGUCCGGCCGGAGCCCGUCGCAGCCGGGCGUCCGCGGGCAGUGGCGCCCAGUCUCAGGCCGGGCGGGCAAUGCGCUCCACUUUCAACUGGUUCAGCAAGGGCGAGGAGGAUGACUCGAAGGACACGUGCGAUGCGUCGCUGUGUUCGACACUCAAGGACCUAUUCGUGAAAUAGGUCGGGGGACGCAGAGGCAAGUAAAGCUCUGGGACUGACCCACCAACAGAUCCAGGCCGUUCAGCAAAGGCGAGCUACUUGUAUCUCUGAGAUCCGGAAAUAUUCGUAUCAUUUGUUAACCAUUGGAAGAAGCCGACAGGUAAAGCGAACUUCAACACAAGACACCAGUUAGGCACUUGAAACACUAUAUUGAACAGUUUAUUAGAUGCAAUACUAGUUGGAACAGUUUAUAAUCAAGAUUACGAUUUACGGAAGCUGAAGCAGCCAUAUUGGCACUGCAGAGUUAUAGUAAUAGAUCUCUUCAGAAAAAUAUACAUGUUCAUACUAGUUACUAGUAGAAGUGCAUAGGCAUAUCACUCACAUACCAACACGAGCCAUUGAGACAGUGACGACCCGACCCAAUCAUUCAUCGUAAUAGACAAACAGUCACAAUAGCAUAGUUGUAUAAGCUGACAGUCAAACAUAUUUACAGAUCACUUACAGUAACUGAACGAGAACCUAUGUAGAUAUGUGAGACAAACGAAUGCCUAACAGUAAGUGCAGCAAGUGGAACAGGAAUAAUGAGUAUUAGAACAAUAACCGUGCCUCUAACACUAAUUACAACUGAUACAAACUCAGUCACACGAACAUUGACACUAACACUAAGCAAAGUAGCAAAUAAUGCAAA